rnacentral:ncRNA from 1 species
AAAAACAAAGUGAUCAGGAAAGUAAUUAGUUACUAUUCACCCCAGAGAGACAACGUUGGUGCGAGUUGUUGUGAAAUAGCCUAAUGAAAAUGACCUGUGAUUGGCGUUAAUGAACAGCAAGUCUGUAAGUUAACGACGGAUUGGUCUCCGUUAUCCAGACACACGAAUCGGCAUAGCACCAUUUCGCUCCCUGCCUGCUCGUUGCAAGAUCUUUUUGGGUAACCAGAAGAUGAACUAGAAUGGUAACACGAGGUGACUCGUUUCUAUU